rnacentral:lncRNA from 1 species
AUUCUGAAAGAGAUGGGAAUACCAGACCACCUAACCUGCCUCUUGAGAACAACACAAGCCCCUCUGAAAUGUCUCAGAAACUUUCAGACCUCGGCAGAGUAAGGAGUGGAUUAUAUGGACAUGAGGGACCCCUGUGGGUGCUUUGUUACCCUUCUGUCCUUUGCACAUGAUAAAUGUUUAGUGGUGAUUGAGAACAAUAAAGAGAAUCUCUAUGUGGCUUAGACUGGAAUCACAGAGGAAUUCGCAGAAGGAAAGGCCCAAGAGUUAGGGGAAAGUGGAGAAGGCUUGGUUCAGAAGGUGUCACUUCUGAUGCUUUGGGGAGCUGACCCAACAGUGGGUUUGGCUGUUGUCACUGGGUUGAGAGAAGCACCCAUGAGGACAGUACUGGUCCAACGAGCCAGCAACAAACCAGCCAGCUCUGCACCUCAUUAGAAUCAGUACUUGUUACUUUGGGGACCUCUGGAGGAUACCUGGGUGUUAUUGGGGAGGGUGGUCAGAAAGAGAUCAUGUGGCUGUCACAGAAGAAAGAGGAUCAAUGAGUCCAUUUUGGAGUGGAGCAGGUGACUUCUGGUCCAGGAGCAGGUGGUCUGGACUGGACCAAAGAGGAGGGAAUUGCCGAGAGCCUGUGUGUUCAGAGGCAAUGGGAUUCAGCCACAGAGAGGUCAACUUGCCCGUUGCCUAGGAAAGGGCACCUUGGAUGCCUCUCAGUUGGAAGAUAUUAUCUCCAGAUGGAAUCCUCUGCCUGCUGGCAAAGUCAGCAGCAUGAUUUGGGACAAUAGUGAUGAAGAUGGUGAAUCUUGGAAAGGACUUAGGAGCCAAAGAAUGAGCCAGGCGUGGGUUUGUGCCCAACACCAUGUGUCCUGGCUGGAGCAUCCAGGCCGAAGCUUGAUUUACAUUCAGGCUGCAUCCCUGAUUGGUGAAGCUGGACUUGCUUGUCGUCCUGAUGAGUCUGGUGAGAGCUCCCGACGAGGGGUGACAAUGAACGGGAAAACGCUGCAGAGGGCAGGGAUGGGAGGGGAAGGCUUGGGGAAUUAUCCAGGGGUUUCGUGUCAGGCAUUUGCCUGUUCAUCUUCUCCAUUUGGGCAACAACAACUUAAGCAAAGCAAGCAAAGAGGUUCACGUAAUUUUAGUGACCCCUGACAAAACUCGCGCAUCUCUGCUGGGAAGUGUGUGCUUUUCUUCCAUGCGGCAUUUGUUUUAAGUAUUUAGCUUCCCCACACAGUUGCAAGUUCAUCUAGCCAUUUUCUCUCUCGCUCUCUCCUUUUCUCUCUCUCUCCCUCAUGAAAUCACUUUAGUCAGCACAAAUUUGGAGGCAGAACCAAACCCAGUAAUAGCAUAUCUCAGACCGCUAUCAAUUUUCCGCCAGAAGAACGUUUCGGGACACAAAGUCCUUUGUCUAUUUCCAGAAGCUCGAUUCAAUGACAUUACAUGAAUGACUACAGCGCUAUAGCAUGUUCUGCACCGUUUCAAAUUGUAACCUAAAAAAAGGGAAGAACUUGGAUCGCAGCCAGAGUGUAAUGAUUUCAGUUCUUAAGAAAAUCCAGCAACCAUUACAGCACAUUCAAUAUUUUCUUGCUGUGGAAAUUUAAGAAUUGACUCUAAUCAAAUAGCAACCCCACCACCCCCAUCCUCCAUUUUCCUAUGGUUCCUGUUACUAAUAGGCCUCCCACGUCUGUUUUG